AUUGAACGCUAACGGCGUGCUUAACACAUGCAAGUCGAGCGGCAGCAUGACUGUAGCAAUACAGUUGAUGGCGAGCGGCGGACGGGUGAGUAAUGCAUAGGAAUCUGCCUUGUAGUGGGGGAUAACCCGGGGAAACUCGGGCUAAUACCGCAUAAUCUCUACGGAGCAAAGUGGGGGACCUUCGGGCCCUACGCUAAAAGAUGAGCCUAUGUUGGAUUAGCUAGUUGGUAGGGUAAAGGCCUACCAAGGCAACGAUCCAUAGCUGGUCUGGGAGGAUGAUCAGCCACACUGGGACUGGGACACGGCCCAGAAUCCUACGGGAGGCAGCAGUGGGGGAUAUUAGACAAUGGGCGAAAGCCUGAUCCAGCAACGCCGUGUGUGUGAAGAAGGCCUUCGGGUUGUAAAGCACUUUUAGUGGGGAAGAAAAGUUCAUGGCUAAUAUCCAUGAAUGCUGACGUUACCCACAGAAAAAGCACUGGCUAACUCUGUGCCAGCCGCCGCCGUAA
rnacentral:rRNA from 1 species